rnacentral:rRNA from 1 species
AUUGAACGCUGGCGGCAUGCCUUACACAUGCAAGUCGAACGGCAGCACGGAGCUUGCUCUGGUGGCGAGUGGCGAACGGGUGAGUAAUAUAUCGGAACGUACCCUAGAGUGGGGGAUAACGUAGCGAAAGUUACGCUAAUACCGCAUACGAUCUAAGGAUGAAAGUGGGGGAUCGCAAGACCUCAUGCUCGUGGAGCGGCCGAUAUCUGAUUAGCUAGUUGGUAGGGUAAAAGCCUACCAAGGCAUCGAUCAGUAGCUGGUCUGAGAGGACGACCAGCCACACUGGAACUGAGACACGGUCCAGACUCCUACGGGAGGCAGCAGUGGGGAAUUUUGGACAAUGGGCGAAAGCCUGAUCCAGCAAUGCCGCGUGAGUGAAGAAGGCCUUCGGGUUGUAAAGCUCUUUUGUCAGGGAAGAAACGGUGGGAGCUAAUAUCUCUUGCUAAUGACGGUACCUGAAGAAUAAGCACCGGCUAACUACGUGCCAGCAGCCGCGGUAAUACGUAGGGUGCAAGCGUUAAUCGGAAUUACUGGGCGUAAAGCGUGCGCAGGCGGUUUUGUAAGUCUGAUGUGAAAUCCCCGGGCUCAACCUGGGAAUUGCAUUGGAGACUGCAAGGCUAGAAUCUGGCAGAGGGGGGUAGAAUUCCACGUGUAGCAGUGAAAUGCGUAGAUAUGUGGAGGAACACCGAUGGCGAAGGCAGCCCCCUGGGUCAAGAUUGACGCUCAUGCACGAAAGCGUGGGGAGCAAACAGGAUUAGAUACCCUGGUAGUCCACGCCCUAAACGAUGUCUACUAGUUGUCGGGUCUUAAUUGACUUGGUAACGCAGCUAACGCGUGAAGUAGACCGCCUGGGGAGUACGGUCGCAAGAUUAAAACUCAAAGGAAUUGACGGGGACCCGCACAAGCGGUGGAUGAUGUGGAUUAAUUCGAUGCAACGCGAAAAACCUUACCUACCCUUGACAUGGCUGGAAUCCUUGAGAGAUCAGGGAGUGCUCGAAAGAGAACCAGUACACAGGUGCUGCAUGGCUGUCGUCAGCUCGUGUCGUGAGAUGUUGGGUUAAGUCCCGCAACGAGCGCAACCCUUGUCAUUAGUUGCUACGAAAGGGCACUCUAAUGAGACUGCCGGUGACAAACCGGAGGAAGGUGGGGAUGACGUCAAGUCCUCAUGGCCCUUAUGGGUAGGGCUUCACACGUCAUACAAUGGUACAUACAGAGCGCCGCCAACCCGCGAGGGGGAGCUAAUCGCAGAAAGUGUAUCGUAGUCCGGAUUGUAGUCUGCAACUCGACUGCAUGAAGUUGGAAUCGCUAGUAAUCGCGGAUCAGCAUGUCGCGGUGAAUAAAGGCCCGGGUCU